GUUGGUGAACCAGCGGAGGGAUCAUUACCGAGUUUACAACUCCCAAACCCCUGUGAACAUACCUUAAUGUUGCCUCGGCGGAUCAGCCCGCGCCCCGUAAAACGGGACGGCCCGCCAGAGAACCCAAAACUCUGAAUUACAGUGUCGUCUGAGUACUAUAAAAUAGUUAAAACUUUCAACAACGGAUCUCUUGGUUCUG
rnacentral:misc_RNA from 1 species